UUUCCAUAGGUGAACCUGCGGAAGGAUCAUUAAUGUGUUUGGGCCUCACGGCUCUUCAUUCCGACGCUGUGCGCCUUCGGGCUGCACGCUGAGGGAGCAUAUAUCCACCCCUGUGCACACACACGGUGGCGAGCUUGGUAACGGCUCGCCGCUUAUCUUUACACACGUCUAAAAGUCAUUGUAUGUUUAUUUGAGAUAAAAACACAACUUUCAGCAACGGAUCUCUUGGCUCUC
rnacentral:misc_RNA from 1 species